rnacentral:tRNA from 1 species
GGGGCUGUGGCUCAGUGGUAGAGCACUUGCCUAGCAUGUGUGAGGCCCUGGGUACAAGUCUCAGCACCA